rnacentral:rRNA from 1 species
UUACCCGGGAAUUAUUGGGGCGUAAAAGCGCGCCGUAAGCGGUUUUUUAAGUCUGAUGUGAAAUCUUCUGGGCUCAACCCGGGAGCUUCAUUGGAACUGGGACCUAGAGUGCGAAGAGGAUGGUGGAAUUUCAUGUGUACGGUGAAAUGCGUAAAUAUAUGGAGGAACACCAGUGGCGAAGGCGACUUUCUGGUCUGUAACUGACGCUGAUGUGCGAAAGCGUGGGGAUCAAACAGGAUUAAAUACCCUGGUAGUCCACGCCGUAACGAUGACUGCUAGGUGUUGGGGGGCUUCGACCCUUUAUAGCUGCACCUACCGCAUUACCCACUCCG